UACGUAGGGUGCAAGCGUUAAUCGGAAUUACUGGGCGUAAAGCGUGCGCAGGCGGUUGUGCAAGACAGAUGUGAAAUCCCCGGGCUCAACCUGGGAAUUGCAUUUGUGACUGUACGGCUAGAGUGUGUCAGAGGGGGGUAGAAUUCCACGUGUAGCAGUGAAAUGCGUAGAGAUGUGGAGGAAUACCGAUGGCGAAGGCAGCCCCCUGGAUAACACUGACGCUCAUGCACGAAAGCGUGGGGAGCAAACAGG
rnacentral:rRNA from 1 species